GAGGGGAGGUUGAACCAACAAGAACUGCCAAUUCCUGUAUCUGAGUCUAAAACCUCAGCCCCCUUA
rnacentral:tRNA from 1 species